UCUCUCUCUCUCUCUCUCAUCUUUGUUUUCCAGCAAAGAACAUAGCAACACAUUGAUUCCCCUCCUUCCUCUCCCUCAUCUUUGUUUUCUUCUAAAAAGCCAUAACCACACAUCAAUUGCUUCCCUUUCCCAUAAUCCCUUUCUCACAGUGCAGUGAAGAAUAAGGGCUUGCACAAAUGGAAGGUUGCCUUGAGGGAGCUAUUUGAAGUUGAAUCAGUGUUAUCAAGGCGAAAGG
rnacentral:misc_RNA from 1 species